AUGGGUUGUGUGAAGAUUACCUCACUUGCGACAUAUGCUUUCAAUGCGGUUAUGCCUCUAAGUCGUGCUUCGACACGUGGGAGAUAUAGCCACAUCGAGGGCGUUACAACCGAGUACACCAAUACUGGCGACUUCAUCCCUAAGCUGAACGAGAAUGGCGCCGAAGUGCCACCAGAGUGGUUCGGUCUGAACCCGGCUGACAGCGAGGACUCGGCAGAGGAGAUUGCCUCCAGCGACGAGAGGGAAGACAAGGAGGACGAGGAAGAUGAAGACGACGCGCCGGAGGUCGGAGUGGACGGCCAGCCUCGAGUCGAUCGCGCCUCCAGCACCGAACCUCGUGCAAGAACGUCGACUGCUGCUGAAGGCGACCACCCCGAGUGA
rnacentral:rRNA from 1 species